CUCCAUUAACUGCUCUGAUAAUGUAAAAGCAGUAAACACAAAUGAAAAGGUCAGAUCUGACAGCUUACACUCUUGUUUCAGACUCUACCGAUGUAUAGAAGAAGUGUUCAGAUGGCUUAAGAGCUUCAGUAUUCAGUGUAUGUCCUCAAUUCUUCCUCAUUUACUGGUUUUGACGUUAAGAUAUUUGCAUGUUAAGCAAAAGCCCAACUUUAAUUAUGUACAUGUGUGUGUGAAUGGCUUUAGAGACUUGCUGACCAUUCCUCUGCGGAGCAGUGCUGAGCUAAUUAAUCACAUUAAUUGGACUCUGUUGAUCAAUAGUCAGUGGGCUGUAGGCAUUAGUUAGUUAAUAUGUUCUCAUUUCAUGGAGUUACUACAAGUGUGUGUGUGUGUGUGUGUGUGUGUGUGUGUGUGUGUGUGUGUGUGUGUGUGUGUGUGUGUGUGUGUGUGUGUGUGUGUGUUUAGGAGCGUGUUCUUAAAUGUGAGGUAAAAGUGUUUGACAUUCGAGGAGAUUAGGAGGACUAAGAUUGUUAUUUAAUCUCUGUGAGUCUCUCUGAAGCUGUCAGUUCAGUAUUCUUCUCCUGAGAGAUAAAAACAUACACAUUUUCUAAAACAUUAAAAACAUCUUAUCAGCACACAUGGUUCAAGG